AUGAACGCUAGCGGCAGGCUUAACACAUGCAAGUCGAGGGGCAGCGCGGGAUAGCAAUAUUCUGGCGGCGACCGGCGGAAGGGUGCGUAACGCGUGAGCGACAUGCCCGUUGCCCGGGGACAACCGGUGGAAACGCCGACUAAUCCCCGAUGGGAUACGAUGCUUCAUGGCAUUGUAUUGAAAGUUACGGCGGCGACGGAUUGGCUCGCGUCCGAUUAGCUUGUUGGCGGGGUAACGGCCCACCAAGGCUACGAUCGGUAGGGGUUCUGAGAGGAAGGCCCCCCACAAUGGGACUGAGACACGGCCCAUACUCCUACGGGAGGCAGCAGUGAGGAAUAUUGGUCAAUGGGCGGAAGCCUGAACCAGCCAUGCCGCGUGCGGGAAGGAGGCCCUAUGGGCUGUGAACCGCUUUUGCCUGGGGGCAAUAAGGGCGUCGCGCACGUCCGAUGAGAGUACCAGGCGAAUAAGCAUCGGCUAACUCCGUGCCAGCAGCCGCGGUAAUACGGGGGAUGCGAGCGUUAUCCGGAUUCAUUGGGUUUAAAGGGUGCGUAGGCUGUGCGUCAAGUCGGGGGUGAAAUUCCGGUGCUCAACACCGGGGCUGCCCUUGAUACUGUCGCGCUGGAGUGCGGAUGCCGCCGGAGGAAUGAGUGGUGUAGCGGUGAAAUGCUUAGAUAUCACGAAGAACUCCGAUUGCGAAGGCAGCUUGCUGGACUGUAACUGACGCUGAGGCGCGAAAGUGUGGGGAGCAAACAGGAUUAGAUACCCUGGUAGUCCACGCCGUAAACGAUGAGUGCUAAGUGUUAGGGGGUUUCCGCCCCUUAGUGCUGCAGCUAACGCAUUAAGCACUCCGCCUGGGGAGUACGACCGCAAGGUUGAAACUCAAAGGAAUUGACGGGGGCCCGCACAAGCGGAGGAACAUGUGGUUUAAUUCGAUGAUACGCGAGGAACCUUACCCGGGCUCGAACGGCACCUGAAUCACCCAGAGAUGGUUGAGUCUUCGGACAGGUGUCGAGGUGCUGCAUGGUUGUCGUCAGCUCGUGCCGUGAGGUGUCGGCUCAAGUGCCAUAACGAGCGCAACCCUUGCCGCCAGUUGCCAUCAGGUCAAGCUGGGCACUCUGGCGGGACUGCCACCGCAAGGUGUGAGGAGGGGGGGGAUGACGUCAAAUCAGCACGGCCCUUACGUCCGGGGCGACACACGUGUUACAAUGGCGGCCACAGAGGGAUGCUACCCCGCGAGGGGAUGCGGAUCUCGAAAAGCCGUCCCAGUUCGGACUGGAGUCUGCAACCCGACUCCACGAAGUUGGAUUCGCUAGUAAUCGCGCAUCAGCCAUGGCGCGGUGAAUACGUUCCCGGGCCUUGUACACACCGCCCGUCAAGCCAUGGAAGCCGCGGGCGCCUGAAGUCCGUGACCGGAAGGAGCGGCCUAGGGCGAAAGUGGUAACUGGGGCU
rnacentral:rRNA from 1 species